rnacentral:rRNA from 1 species
GAUGAACGCUAGCGGCAGGCCUAAUACAUGCAAGUCGAACGGUGGAGGCGGACAUAGUGGCGCACGGGUGCGUAACACGUAUGCAACCUACCUUACAUUGGGGGAUAGCCUUUCGAAAGGGAGAUUAAUACCGCAUAAGACAGUAGCUGGGCAUCCAGCAGCUGUUAAAGAUUUAUCGAUGUAAGCUGGGCAUGCGUCCAAUUAGCUAGUUGGUGAGGUAACGGCUCACCAAGGCAAUGAUUGGUAGGGGAACUGAGAGGUCAAUCCCCCACACUGGCACUGAGAUACGGGCCAGACUCCUACGGGAGGCAGCAGUAGGGAAUAUUGGGCAAUGGACGCAAGUCUGACCCAGCCAUGCCGCGUGCAGGAUGAAGGCGUUAUGCGUUGUAAACUGCUUUUAUACAGGAAGAAACGACUUUUGCGAGGGGCAUUGACGGUACUGUAUGAAUAAGCACCGGCUAACUCCGUGCCAGCAGCCGCAGUAAAAC